UAUUCUCUCAAAAGAGGGUUAAAUGUCCUGU
rnacentral:piRNA from 1 species